UAGUAGUGAUGAUAGGUUGUUAUGUAUUUCCGGGGAAAGAGCAUUAUUAUUUAAUAUUGGCAACAUUUUAAUGGAUUUGUUUGCAGAUUGACAAAUGGCGUGUAGAUGGCAGUGUAAUCUAUAAUUCCUUGCUCAGGAGGCUGAAAAGUCAAAGAGAGCGUCGAAAGUGGUGGAGUGGACAUGAGGCUACAUUCAUUGGAGGCUCCUUCAAAUUGGCCUCGUGAAUUUGACUAUAGAAAAUGAUACAUACUUCUUCCUGUGUUUAAAGUAAUCGUAUGAAUUCUAUUUGCAUGGAGAUAUAAGGAAAAAAACUUUUCUUCCUCAACGAAAUACUUCCAAAUAGAAGUUCACCUAUGCAAGGGGGUCAGAAAUAUUAUAUAUUUAUUAUUAUAGUUAUUAGUUGGGAAAAGUAUCGAAAUUAGCUUAUAGUGGGCCAUAAUUAUCACUUACAGCUUCACUUUUCCGUAAUUACCUUCUGUAGCCUAGCCAUAUGUUAAGUUUUACUUAAUUACUUUUUAUAGCCUACAUGCUUUUAAUUACUGUAUUUUCUUAAGAAAAUACACUAACGGCACGCGCGUUCAUAGUUAUUGCUUCUAUGGAUGGUGCAUCAACAUUGGAUGAGUUUGUUGUCUUUUGGUAUGUAUUUUUAAACAAAUACAUAUUAUAUUAGUAUUUAUAAAAUUAUUUGUUUCAAUUGUUUGUAA